rnacentral:tRNA from 1 species
GUCCGCAUAGUGUAGCGGUUAUCAUGUUUGCUUUACACGCAAAAGGUCCCAGGUUCGAACCCUGGUGCGGACA